GUUUUAGGGUUUUGUUUUUUUUUUUGCUUUGAUUGUAGACUAGAGUUUGAAAAGAUGUGUUAACUAGGGGCCUACUCACAGGAGGUGAGCUCGGUACUGCGUCCUGCCUGGGCCAGGGGCCAGGCCACCCCCAGGCCUCUGACUAUGUUCUGGGCACACUCCCUAGAUUCCUGAUGUGAUGUGCAGGGAAGGUCACUGGCAUCCCUGCCACCCCAUGUGUCUGAGAAGUACCUACUCCAGUGUCCAGAGAGGCCUCCCAGCUGGCAGCGGAAGUGUGAACCCAGGAUCCCAGUACUCUGCUCUCCAUUUCUCACCUUGUUCAUUGCCUAUCAAGCUGCUGCCCUGAUAGGGUCUGGUCACUGUCGCAUCCACAGGGCUUUCUGCUAUGCUGAUGGCCAUCUAAUCUCCAGGACUCGUGGCUCUACCAGAUCCAACAGAUCUUCCUAUUCUGUUUCUAGAGUUCACUCCUCUGACCCUUCUGACACAGACGCAUCUUCUCUGGCCCAGAAACACAGACCUGUCUUUGUUUUAUGAACAUCUACGUAUAUUGCAGCUCUGGAGCAGAAAGAGCUGAACUAACUGGGUCAAAGGUGGAUGGUUGGACCCCUCCAAUAAAGAGGGAAUGAAGAACCAGAGUCCUGGAGUUCCUGGAAAAGCCACCAUCCUCCAAUAGGGACAUGAGCUGGGAA
rnacentral:lncRNA from 1 species